AUGGAUAUCCCUAGCUCAUUAAUUUCUUCCAUACUCAUAUUUAUGGUUGCGUCCAAUAUUACCAUCACCCCAGAAUCCAUUGCACAUAAAGCCUCCACCAUGGCAGACCACCUUCAAAUUCAGCAGAAACAGUUGGUACUACCGCCGGGGUUUAGGUUCCACCCGACGGAUGAGGAGAUCAUCAAAUUCUAUGUGGUCCCCAAGGUGCUCGAUGAAGCCUUCGUUGUCGCGGCGAUUGAGGAUGUAAACCUCAACAAGUACGAGCCAUGGGAGCUACCAGAGAAGGCGAAGAUGGGGGAGAAAGAGUGGUACUUUUACUCCCGAAAGGAUCGCAAGUACCCCACUGGGAUACGAACGAACCGGGCGACGGAGGCCGGCUAUUGGAAGGCCACCGGAAAGGACAAGGAGAUCUUCCAGCCACCUUUCACACUCAUCGGCAUGAAGAAGACACUUGUCUUCUACAAGGGCCGGGCGCCUAGGGGGGAGAAGACCAAUUGGAUCAUGCAUGAGUAUAGGCUCGAGAGCAACAAGAAGCUGACAUCCAACCCAUCCAUCACCACCCGCACCGUCACCAGAACCAACACGGCUUCCAAGGAACAGUGGGUGGUUUGCAGGAUCUUCCAUAAGAGCACCGGACUAAAGAAGAUGGUGACACCGUCAUAUAACAUGCCAAUGUACACAGGAGCAGAACAUCAGCAGGCCUUUGUCGACUUAGAUACAUUGCCUCCUCUCAUGGAAUAUGACAUGUCGUCAACAUGUGCGCAUGCACCGCUGUUUCCUGGAGCUUCUUCAUACAAGUCGCACGAUGUCGGAACUGGCUCAUCGAUGAUGGGCAGUGUGGCGCUUCCUAUGAUGAAUUACCACUACAUCGGGAACAACCACCACCACCAAAUGAUGGCCAACCCAACACUGCCUCUGUCGCUCUACCAACACCAACAACAACAUCAACAGAUGAUGAUGCAUAUGGGUGCAGAUCAGGGUCUCAUGGUCGGGGCUCAACCUGGAAGUGGGUUGGCGUCGAUGCUGUCACAGGAGGACACUGUGGCCGGGCUGAGGAACAACUACCCAGGGAACACCGCUACAACAGCAGUUGGCGAGACCUCAUUGAUGAACAUGGGUAUGGAUGACAUUUGGCAGAACUGA
rnacentral:rRNA from 1 species